CUGUAUGAGAUCUACUAUUUUUGGGUUUUUGGUAAAGAUUCUUUUCUGUUUCCAGAGGACUUGAUUUUUUUUUUUUUCUUCGGGAAGAGAGAGGAGGUUGGCGGCCACGAGCGAGGCAGCGAGCGGUACCGAAGGCCCCGGCGCCGGCGGCGUGCAGCGGAAGACGACAACGCGGUGGCGGCGGUGGUGGAGCAAGGGUUAGUGGUGAAGAGAAGGAGGAGCCGCCUGCUUAACGACCUGCCCCCGGCGCAGUUCUAGAAGCUAGCGCUAGACUUCGCGGCUGUGGCCCUGGCCCGCCGCACCCGCUACGCCCUUUGACUAGGUGACCAUCUGCGCCAGCGUCUAUUGGAGGAGCUGGCGGAGCUCCUGACGUCCUUCCGCAAGGGGAGCCGUGAGACGGAGCCGCCAAGCCGACCGCGGCAGGCGGCCAGCGAAGCGCCGGCGCCACCUUAGCUCUUUAACUGGUACUACCUGUACAGCCAUCUGUACCACUUGUUCACCGCCCUCAACCUCUCACGAUGACUGCUGCCGGGGCUCUACUUGAAAUAGCAACCUCUACUUCUCAUAGAAGGAUAGUUUCUCUUGAGGGUCCUAAACUAUUACUCGACAGAACCUGAAGUAACCUGUUUACUAGAUGGACCUCGUUACUAUGUCCAACCGCAACUUCGGACUACCGGAAAAAGAACGUCGUUAAGAACCGCCCCUCUGAGACUUCCUUGAUUCUUAACGUACGUGUUAACGAGUUUACCUUGCACUCCCUCCGUAGUCAGGAGCUUACAGCGGUAAUCGUGUUCAGGCACUACGUCCUUUGGAAAACAGUUCCCGUCCGAAGCGGGAAGGUCCUCAACUACAUCUAGCUAUAUGUCAGUUCAUGUUAUCACGAGAACUUGAACACCUUGUAGAAUCUCGUUACCGUCUUUGUUUACGAGAGAAAGUUUCUUCGGGAUAUAAUUUCUCUCUAUGUCGUGAUCGAUGACGUCGGUAAAUGGUCAGUUACAAACCCAAUCUUCUACCUUGGUAAGGUCGUUGGAAAGUCCAUUAAAUGUACUGACCCACCUUCCUCGUAAGUAGUGUCGUUUUCGGAUUCUCUUCCCCAAGACGGUGACAUAGUAAACCACUGUAUUCCUUUGUUAAACCAAGGUUGGUUCUGACUUCUUGAAAUACUCGAUACUUUUGUAGAGAGCUCCUUCCUUUUCUUUUGGGGAUAAACGAGUGUUGUCUUGAACCCCAAAGGCUCCGAAGGGUAAACACCUUUUUCACAUGAGACAACCAAGGGUGGUUUUGAGCGCCUUCGCAAGGAACGUAGCGAGUGUUAGGAGAAGAACACGUAGACCCAACUAGAGCUGUGCGGGACUUUUGACCUUCGCCUAGUACCUCACCUGCUUCCUCUACGAUAUAUAAACAUCAGGCUGGGAUCGGAUACACAAAGGUGACAUACGUUAAUUAUAGGGUAGUGUACCUUUUACU
rnacentral:rRNA from 1 species